UACAGAGGUCUCAAGCGUUGUUCGGAUUCAUUGGGCGUAAAGGGUGCGUAGGCGGCGCGGUAAGUCGGGUGUGAAAUCUCGGAGCUUAACUCCGAAACUGCAUUCGAUACUGCCGUGCUUGAGGACUGGAGAGGAGACUGGAAUUUACGGUGUGGCGGUGAAAUGCGUAGAUAUCGUAAGGAAGACCAGUGGCGAAGGCGGGUCUCUGGACAGUUCCUGACGCUGAGGCACGAAGGUCAGGGGAGCAAACGGG
rnacentral:rRNA from 1 species